rnacentral:rRNA from 1 species
GACGAACCGUGCGAACGUUGUUCGGAAUCACUGGGCUUAAAGGGCGCGUAGGCGGGCUGACAAGUCUGGGGUGAAAUGCCGAGGCUCAACCGUGGAACUGCCUUAGAUACUGUCGGCCUCGAGGAAGGUAGGGGCAUGCGGAACUGUAGGUGGAGCGGUGAAAUGCGUUGAUAUCUACAGGAACUCCGGUGGCGAAAGCGGCGUGCUGGACCUUUUCUGACGCUGAGGCGCGAAAGCUAGGGGAGCAAACGGG